rnacentral:misc_RNA from 1 species
GAUGAAGAACGCAGCGAAAUGCGAUAAGUAAUGCGAAUUGCAGAAUUCAGUGAAUCAUCGAAUCUUUGAACGCACAUUGCGCCCGCUAGUAUUCUGGCGGGCAUGCCUGUCUGAGCGUCAUUUCAACCCUCGCCCCCGGCUUUUGCUGGGAGCGGUGUUGGGGAUCGGCCGCCCGUCACUGGGAGGCCGGCCCCGAAAUAGAGCGGCGACCACGCCGUGUGCUCCUCUGCGUAGUAGUAAAUCACCUCGCAGGCGGACAGCGGUGCGGCCUGCCGUAAAACCCCCAACUCUUUCUGGUUGACCUCAGAUCAGGUAGGAAUACCCGCUGAACUUAAGCAUAUCAAUAAGCGGAGGA